rnacentral:miRNA from 1 species
UAAUAAGACAUGAGGCUUGAG